AAAUUGAAGAGUUUGAUCAUGGCUCAGAUUGAACGCUGGCGGCAGGCCUAACACAUGCAAGUCGAACGGUAACAGGAAUCAGCUUGCUGAUUUGCUGACGAGUGGCGGACGGGUGAGUAAUGUCUGGGAAACUGCCUGAUGGAGGGGGAUAACUACUGGAAACGGUAGCUAAUACCGCAUAACGUCGCAAGACCAAAGAGGGGGACCUUCGGGCCUCUUGCCAUCGGAUGUGCCCAGAUGGGAUUAGCUAGUAGGUGGGGUAAAGGCUCACCUAGGCGACGAUCCCUAGCUGGUCUGAGAGGAUGACCAGCCACACUGGAACUGAGACACGGUCCAGACUCCUACGGGAGGCAGCAGUGGGGAAUAUUGCACAAUGGGCGCAAGCCUGAUGCAGCCAUGCCGCGUGUAUGAAGAAGGCCUUCGGGUUGUAAAGUACUUUCAGCGGGGAGGAAGGGAGUAAAGUUAAUACCUUUGCUCAUUGACGUUACCCGCAGAAGAAGCACCGGCUAACUCCGUGCCAGCAGCCGCGGUAAUACGGAGGGUGCAAGCGUUAAUCGGAAUUACUGGGCGUAAAGCGCACGCAGGCGGUUUGUUAAGUCAGAUGUGAAAUCCCCGGGCUCAACCUGGGAACUGCAUCUGAUACUGGCAAGCUUGAGUCUCGUAGAGGGGGGUAGAAUUCCAGGUGUAGCGGUGAAAUGCGUAGAGAUCUGGAGGAAUACCGGUGGCGAAGGCGGCCCCCUGGACGAAGACUGACGCUCAGGUGCGAAAGCGUGGGGAGCAAACAGGAUUAGAUACCCUGGUAGUCCACGCCGUAAACGAUGUCGACUUGGAGGUUGUGCCCUUGAGGCGUGGCUUCCGGAGCUAACGCGUUAAGUCGACCGCCUGGGGAGUACGGCCGCAAGGUUAAAACUCAAAUGAAUUGACGGGGGCCCGCACAAGCGGUGGAGCAUGUGGUUUAAUUCGAUGCAACGCGAAGAACCUUACCUGGUCUUGACAUCCACGGAAGUUUUCAGAGAUGAGAAUGUGCCUUCGGGAACCGUGAGACAGGUGCUGCAUGGCUGUCGUCAGCUCGUGUUGUGAAAUGUUGGGUUAAGUCCCGCAACGAGCGCAACCCUUAUCCUUUGUUGCCAGCGGUCCGGCCGGGAACUCAAAGGAGACUGCCAGUGAUAAACUGGAGGAAGGUGGGGAUGACGUCAAGUCAUCAUGGCCCUUACGACCAGGGCUACACACGUGCUACAAUGGCGCAUACAAAGAGAAGCGAUCUCGCGAGAGCAAGCGGACCUCAUAAAGUGCGUCGUAGUCCGGAUUGGAGUCUGCAACUCGACUCCAUGAAGUCGGAAUCGCUAGUAAUCGUGGAUCAGAAUGCCACGGUGAAUACGUUCCCGGGCCUUGUACACACCGCCCGUCACACCAUGGGAGUGGGUUGCAAAAGAAGUAGGUAGCUUAACCUUCGGGAGGGCGCUUACCACUUUGUGAUUCAUGACUGGGGUGAAGUCGUAACAAGGUAACCGUAGGGGAACCUGCGGUUGGAUCACCUCCUUACCUUAAAGAAGC
rnacentral:rRNA from 1 species